UACGGAGGGUGCGAGCGUUGUCCGGAAUCACUGGGCGUAAAGGGCGCGUAGGCGGCCUGAUAAGUAGGGGGUGAAAUCCUGCGGCUUAACCGCAGGGCUGCCUUCUAAACUGUCAGGCUCGAGCACAGGUAGAGGCAGGUGGAAUCCCGGUGUAGCGGUGGAUGCGUAGAGAUCGGGAAGAACAUCAGUGGCGAAGGCGGCCUGCUGGGCUGUGCUGACGCUGAGGCGCGACAGCGUGGGGAGCAAACAGG
rnacentral:rRNA from 1 species